AUCAUGGCUCAGAUUGAACGCUGGCGGCAUGCCUUACACAUGCAAGUCGAACGGCAGCGGACCUUCGGGUGCCGGCGAGUGGCGAACGGGUGAGUAAUAUAUCGGAACGUACCUUUCAGUGGGGGAUAACGUAGCGAAAGUUACGCUAAUACCGCAUAUUCUGUGAGCAGGAAAGCAGGGGACCGCAAGGCCUUGCGCUCUUUGAGCGGCCGGAUGUCAGAUUAGCUAGUUGGUGAGGUAAAGGCUUACCAAGGCGACGAUCUGUAGCGGGUCUGAGAGGAUGAUCCGCCACACUGGAACUGAGACACGGUCCAGACUCCUACGGGAGGCAGCAGUGGGGAAUUUUGGACAAUGGGGGCAACCCUGAUCCAGCCAUGCCGCGUGAGUGAAGAAGGCCUUCGGGUUGUAAAGCUCUUUCGGCCGGGAAGAAAUCGCAUGGGUGAAUACCCUGUGUGGAUGACGGUACCGGAACAAGAAGCACCGGCUAACUACGUG
rnacentral:rRNA from 1 species